rnacentral:sRNA from 1 species
CGGGCGUGGUGCUUCGGGCUGGAGCGGAGAGGCUCUGGCAGCUGCCGGCCCGCGAGGUGGGCUCGGUGGGCGGCGCGGAGCUCGGCUCUGCGGGGAGGCUCUGACAGCCCCGGGCUGCGCGCCUGCCCCGCCUCGCCCGGCCCUGGCCAGGCGCACAAAGCUGCGCGCCUGGCCUCCGCCCUCCGCCCAGCUUUGCACCCCCAA